rnacentral:rRNA from 1 species
GACGAACGCUGGCGGCGUGCUUAACACAUGCAAGUCGAACGGAAAGGCCUGCUUUCCCUUGUGGAUUGCGGGUACUCGAGUGGCGAACGGGUGAGUAACACGUGAGUGAUCUGCCCCCAACUUGGUUAUAAGCCUGGGAAACUGGGUCUAAUUCCCGAUAGGACUGCAGGGUGGUGCCUGUGGUGGAAAACGAUUUUCUAGUGGUUGGGGAUGAGCUCGCGGCGUAUCAGCUUGUUGGUGGGGUAAUGGCCUACCAAGGCGGCGACGGGAAGCCGGACUGGGAGGGUGGACAGCCACAUUGGGACUGGGACACGGCCCAGACGCGUACGGGAGGCAGCAGUGGGGCAGAAAGGACCAUGAGCGGAAGCGUGAAGCAGCGACGCCGCGUGGGGGAUGACGGGCUUCGGAUUGUCAGCUCCUUGCGAACGAGAGGAAGCCACCUGGUUGGAAGGGUGGUGACGGUAGUGGUAGAAGAAGCACCGGCUAACUACGUG